UACGUAGGGUGCGAGCGUUAAUCGGAAUUACUGGGCGUAAAGUGUGCGCAGGCGGCCGCGCAAGUCGAGUGUGAAAGCCCCGAGCUUAACUUGGGAAUUGCGCUCGAAACUACGUGGCUGGAGUGUGGCAGAGGAAGGUGGAAUUCCACGUGUAGCGGUGAAAUGCGUAGAUAUCUGGAGGAACACCGGUGGCGAAGGCGACUCUUUGGCCUGUAACUGACGCUGAGGCGCGAAAGCGGUGGGGAGCAAACAGG
rnacentral:rRNA from 1 species